UACGAAGGGGGCUAGCGUUGCUCGGAAUUACUGGGCGUAAAGCGUGCGCAGGCGGUUCGUUAAGUUCGUUGUGAAAGCCCCGGGCUCAACCUGGGAACUGCAAUGGAAACUGGCGGGCUUGAAUGCGGCAGAGGGGGGUGGAAUUCCGCGUGUAGCAGUGAAAUGCGUAGAGAUCCGGAGGAACACCAGUGGCGAAGGCGACACGCUGGGCCGUACCUGACGCUAAAGCGCGACAGCAUGGGGAGCAAACGGG
rnacentral:rRNA from 1 species